rnacentral:rRNA from 1 species
UACGGGGGGGGCAAGCGUUGUUCGGAAUUACUGGGCGUAAAGGGCGUGUAGGUGGCCAACUAAGUCCGACGUGAAAUCCCCAGGCUUAACCUGGGAACUGCGUCGGAUACUGGAUGGCUUGAAUUCGGGAGAGGGAUGCAGAAUUCCAGGUGUAGCGGUGAAAUGCGUAGAUAUUCGCAAGAACACCAGUGGCGAAGGCGGCUCACUGGCUCGGUACUGACGCUGAGGUGCGAAAGCGUGGGGAGCAAACAGG